rnacentral:rRNA from 1 species
CACGUGGGGUGCGAGCGUUGUCCGGAAUUAUUGGGCGUAAAGAGCUUGUAGGCGGUUUGUCGCGUCUGCUGUGAAAAUCCGGGGCUCAACCCCGGACUUGCAGUGGGUACGGGCAGACUAGAGUGUGGUAGGGGAGACUGGAAUUCCUGGUGUAGCGGUGAAAUGCGCAGAUAUCAGGAGGAACACCGAUGGCGAAGGCAGGUCUCUGGGCCACUACUGACGCUGAGAAGCGAAAGCAUGGGGAGCGAACAGG